AACGCUAGCUACAGGCUUAACACAUGCAAGUCGAGGGGAAACGACAUUGAAAGCUUGCUUUUGAUGGGCGUCGACCGGCGCACGGGUGAGUAACGCGUAUCCAACCUGCCCACCACUUGGGGAUAACCUUGCGAAAGUAAGACUAAUACCCAAUGACGUCUCUAGAAGACAUCUGAAGGAGAUUAAAGAUUUAUCGGUGAUGGAUGGGGAUGCGUCUGAUUAGCUUGUUGGCGGGGUAACGGCCCACCAAGGCGACGAUCAGUAGGGGUUCUGAGAGGAAGGUCCCCCACAUUGGAACUGAGACACGGUCCAAACUCCUACGGGAGGCAGCAGUGAGGAAUAUUGGUCAAUGGGCGAGAGCCUGAACCAGCCAAGUAGCGUGCAGGAUGACGGCCCUAUGGGUUGUAAACUGCUUUUAUAAGGGAAUAAAGUGAGUCUCGUGAGACUUUUUGCAUGUACCUUAUGAAUAAGGACCGGCUAAUUCCGUGCCAGCAGCCGCGGUAAUACGGAAGGUUCGGGCGUUAUCCGGAUUUAUUGGGUUUAAAGGGAGCGUAGGCCGGAGAUUAAGCGUGUUGUGAAAUGUAGACGCUCAACGUCUGCACUGCAGCGCGAACUGGUUUCCUUGAGUACGCACAAAGUGGGCGGAAUUCGUGGUGUAGCGGUGAAAUGCUUAGAUAUCACGAAGAACUCCGAUUG
rnacentral:rRNA from 1 species